AGCGAACGCUGGCGGCAUGCCUAACACAUGCAAGUCGAACGAACCCUUCUCGGUUGGUGCCGGCCGGGUGCGCACCACGUGGUAACGUGUCUUUAGGUUCGGCAUAACUCAGGGUAACUCGUCCUAAUCCGUACUGUUCCCUUCGGGGGUAUGCUUUUUCGCGUUUAGAGCGGCCCGCCUCCGAUUAGCUAGUUGGUUGAGUUAAUGGCUCACCAGUGCGACGAUCCACAGCUUGUCAGUGAGGAUGAUCAGCCACAUUGAGACUGAGACACGGUCCGAAAUCCUACAGGAGGCAGCAGUGGGGAAUCUUGCGAAAUGGGCGAAAGCAUGACGAAGCCAUGCCGCGUGAAUGAUGAUGGUCGUAGGGUUGAAGAGCUCUUUCAUCAGGGGCGAUAAUGACGGUACCCGAAGAAGAAGCCCCGGCUAACUACGUG
rnacentral:rRNA from 1 species